GCCCAGGUGGCGGAAUUGGUAGACGCGCACGGUUCAGGUCCGUGUGCCGCAAGGCGUGGAGGUUCGAUUCCUCUUCUGGGCACCA
rnacentral:tRNA from 5 species